rnacentral:snoRNA from 1 species
CCGCACUACUCGUAACCUUUUAACUUGGUUGUAGCUAAUGGGUUCCAUUCUAGUGCCACAGCAAUUCCAGUGAACAUGACUGACUGACACUCCUGUCUUUCAGUUUCAGGAACUGGAGACAAAU